UACAGAGGUCUCAAGCGUUGUUCGGAUUUACUGGGCGUAAAGCGCACGUAGGCGGAUCGUUAAGUCGGGGGUGAAAUCCUGGAGCUCAACUCCAGAACUGCCUUCGAUACUGGCGAUCUUGAGUCCGGAAGAGGUGAGUGGAACUCCUAGUGUAGAGGUGGAAUUCGUAGAUAUUAGGAAGAACACCAGUGGCGAAGGCGGCUCACUGGUCCGGUACUGACGCUGAGGUGCGAAAGCGUGGGAGCAACAGGAUAGAUACCCCGGU
rnacentral:rRNA from 1 species